GCGGGUGUAGCUUAGCCUGGCAAAGCGCCUCCCUGUCACGGAGGAGAUCGCGGGUUCGAAUCCCGUCGCCCGCG
rnacentral:tRNA from 2 species